GAUGAACGCUGGCGGCGUGCCUAAUACAUGCAAGUCGAGCGAACGGACGAGAAGCUUGCUUCUCUGAUGUUAGCGGCGGACGGGUGAGUAACACGUGGAUAACCUACCUAUAAGACUGGGAUAACUUCGGGAAACCGUAGCUAAUACCGGAUAAUAUUUUGAACCGCAUGGUUCAAAAGUGAAAGACGGUCUUGCUGUCACUUAUAGAUGGAUCCGCGCUGCAUUAGCUAGUUGGUAAGGUAACGGCUUACCAAGGCAACGAUGCAUAGCCGACCUGAGAGGUGAAUCGGCCACACGGAAACGGGAAAACGGCCCGAAUCCCAAGGGGGGGCGGCGGUGGGAAAUCUUCCGCAUGGGGCGAAAGCCGGACGAGGCAACGCGGCGGAGUGAUGAAGGGUCUUGGAUUCUAAAAACCUGUUAUUAGGGAAGAACAUAUGUGUAAGUAACUGUGCACAUCUUGACGGUACCUAAUCAGAAAGCCACGGCUAACUACGUG
rnacentral:rRNA from 1 species